UUCCAUGUUGAUGUACUGCCAUGGAAACGUUUUGGGACAAAUAUAGAGGGAAUUUUGAAAGGAAAAUGAGUGACCCAAGUGGUAAAUUUGGUUGCAGGGAGUGGUUGGGCAGCCGAGAUAAGCAGGGCUAUGGGCGGUGUUUCUUUUCGUGGCUGUCCAAGGCAGGGACCGAACAAAAAGCCCACAGAAUAGCCCUAUGCAUAGCAAAUAAAUGUUUACCAGAUGAUUUGGUUAAAACUGACAGCUCUGGCAAAAAAAUUGAAGUGAGCCAUCUCUGUCACAACACUUCUUGUGUAAACACUGACCAUUUGACUGUCGAGACCCACGAACACAAUAUGGAAAGAAUUCACUGUCGACAACAGGGUUUGUGCACCAAGAGUCAUAAACCCUACUGUUUAAUUGACAGCACACCCGAGCCCAUGUCUCAGCGUCAAGAGUGAUUUUGCUGGACUUUUAAAGUUCACACUAUGCACAGCACUGUGAGCUCUGCCUUGGAAGUUCCGAGUAAAGGUUGUAUCACGAGCUUUCUGCAUGCCUGAACUGGAUGGGGGUUGAAUAUCUGCACUCAUGCAGAGAACACGGAAACUCUCACUCCCCAUGGGACAUUUCGACAGGCCUAUCUGGAGUCCAGUGUUAGCAGUGGAGGAGCGACGUCCCUUCUUCGCCGCAGCUACUUCUACCUCCCUGUAGAGCUUAUGAUGCUUAGACAGUGAACAAUCAUCCUCCUGAGGGGUGUUUCUCAUCCUCGGCCUUAACAGGCUGUAUGGCACACUGUGACAGCACACCCGAGCCCAUGUCUCAGCGUCAAGAGUGAUUUUGUUGGACUUUUAAAGUUCACACUAUGCACAGCACUGUGAGCUCUGCCUUGGAAGUUCCGAGUAAAGGUUGUAUCACGAGCUUUCUGCAUGCCUGAACUGGAUGGGGGUUGAAUAUCUGCACUCAUGCAGAGAACACGGAAACUCUCACUCCCCAUGGGACAUUUCGACAGGCCUAUCUGGAGUCCAGUGUUAGCAGUGGAGGAGCGACGUCCCUUCUUCGCCGCAGCUACUUCUACCUCCCUGUAGAGCUUAUGAUGCUUAGACAGUGAACAAUCAUCCUCCUGAGGGGUGUUUCUCAUCCUCGGCCUUAACAGGCUGUAUGGCACACUGUGACAGCACACCCGAGCCCAUGUCUCAGCGUCAAGAGUGAUUUUGUUGGACUUUUAAAGUUCACACUAUGCACAGCACUGUGAGCUCUGCCUUGGAAGUUCCGAGUAAAGGUUGUAUCACGAGCUUUCUGCAUGCCUGAACUGGAUGGGGGUUGAAUAUCUGCACUCAUGCAGAGAACACGGAAACUCUCACUCCCCAUGGGACAUUUCGACAGGCCUAUCUGGAGUCCAGUGUUAGCAGUGGAGGAGCGACGUCCCUUCUUCGCCGCAGCUACUUCUACCUCCCUGUAGAGCUUAUGAUGCUUAGACAGUGAACAAUCAUCCUCCUGAGGGGUGUUUCUCAUCCUCGGCCUUAACAGGCUGUAUGGCACACUGG